rnacentral:rRNA from 1 species
GCUCAGAACGAACGCUGGCGGCACGCCUAACACAUGCAAGUCGAGCGCUCACUUCGGUGGGAGCGGCGGACGGGUUAGUAACGCGUGGGAACAUACCCUUUACUACGGAAUAGCCUUUGGAAACGAAGAGUAAUACCGUAUACGCCCUACGGGGGAAAGAUUUAUCGGUAAAGGAUUGGCCCGCGUUAGAUUAGAUAGUUGGUGGGGUAACGGCCUACCAAGUCUACGAUCUAUAGCUGGUUUGAGAGGAUGAUCAGCAACACUGGGACUGAGACACGGCCCAGACUCCUACGGGAGGCAGCAGUGGGGAAUCUUAGACAAUGGGGGAAACCCUGAUCUAGCGAUGCCGCGUGUGUGACGAAGGCCUUAGGGUCGUAAAGCACUUUCGCCAGAGAUGAUAAUGACAGUAUCUGGUAAAGAAACCCCGGCUAACUCCGUGC